UACAGAGGUCUCGAGCGUUGUUCGGAUUCAUUGGGCGUAAAGGGCGCGUAGGCGGCGGGGUAAGUCUGGUGUGAAAUCUCGGGGCUUAACUCCGAAACUGCAUUCGAUACUGCCGUGCUUGAGGACUGGAGAGGAGACUGGAAUUUACGGUGUAGCGGUGAAAUGCGUAGAUAUCGUAAGGAAGACCAGUGGCGAAGGCGGGUCUCUGGACAGUUCCUGACGCUGAGGCACGAAGGUCAGGGGAGCAAACGGG
rnacentral:rRNA from 1 species